GAGUCAACCCGGCUGCUAAACUCGCACAAAAGCCAGCGCAACGCGCGCAAGUCGCAAGCGAGGGCGCGCGCGGUUUCCCCACUUCCACACCGCGCCACCGCCAGUACCGCGCCGAGACCGGCGGGAUGGACACGCUGCGAAAGCGGGCGCUGUCGAUAGACACCACGUCUGCGGCGGCCGCGGGGACGGACCAGCGGGAGAUCAAGGCGAGCCGGGAGGGGGAGGACGAGGGCGCUGUGGUCGAGGAGGAGCCGGUGAGCCCGACGGGGCGUCUGUUCCGGGAGCCGCACUUCAGGUGCCACAUCGUCUCCGUCUUCGGUCUCGGCGCGCCGGUUGACCUGCCGGCCAUGCGGGCUGGGGUCGCCGCCACGCUCGCCCGCCACCCGCGGUUCUCCAGCGUCCAGGUGUUGGACGAGUUGGACAAGAACGCGAGGCCCAAAUGGGUCCGGACCACUGUGAACCUGGACGACCACAUCGUCGUCCCGGCGCUGAACCCCGCCGCAACGUCGGCCAACCCCGACAAGGCUCUGGAGGACUACGUGUCAUCGCUGUCCGCGCGCCCCAUGGACCACUCCCGCCCGCUGUGGGAGCUCCACGUCCUCGACUUCCCCACCGCCGAGUCCGCCGCCGCGCUCGCGCUCCGCGUGCACCACUCCCUCGGCGACGGCGUCUCGCUGCUCUCCCUCUUCAUGGCCUGCACCCGCAGCGCCGCCAACCCGGACGCGCUGCCGUCCCUGCCGCCCGCGGGCCGCGCGGGCCCCGUGUACGCGCUGCCGCGGCCUCAGCUGGCCGCAGGCGCGCUCGCGGUGCUGGCCGUGUGGGUCCUGUCGUUCCUCGUGCUCGCAUGGCUCACGUUGGUGGACGUGGUGCGCUUCUUCGCGACGGCGGCGUCGCUCGUGGGCGACGCGCGCACGCCGCUCAAGGGCGCGGAGGGCGUCGAGUUCCGGUCCAAGCGCUUCGUCAACCGCACGCUCAGCCUCGACGACGUCAAGUACGUCAAGAACGCCAUGAGCUGCACUGUAAAUGAUGUUCUGCUUGGAAUAACCUCUGCCGCGUUGUCUCGGUAUUAUUUCCGGAAAACAGGUGAAAGCGACAGGAAGAACAUCACGGUGCGAUCCACUCUUCUUGUCAACUUACGGCCGACGCCUGGCCUACAUACAUUGGCAAGCAUGAUGGAGUCCGGUAAGGACAACGGCGCGAGAUGGGGAAACCAGAUCGGAUACAUGAUAAUCCCGUUCCACCUGGCCAAGCACGAUGACCCCAUCGAGUACGUCCGGAAGGCGAAGAAGGUCGCGCGCAGGAAGAAGAGCUCCAUGGAGUCGGUCUUCACUUACUGGAGCGCGGAUAUGAUUGUAAAACUUUUCGGCAUCAAGGCAGCAGCUGCGCUCUGUUACGGCAUGUUCAAGCACACGACCCUGUCCUUCUCCAGCAUGGUCGGACCAACCGAGCAGGUGCUGUUCUGCGGCAAUCCGAUCGUCUACAUUGCCCCCGGUACCUUCGGGCACCCACAUGCCCUGACUGUGCAUUACCAGAGUUACAGUAACAAGAUCAAGAUAGUCCUCUCAGUAGAUGAGGCGCAAUUUCCAGAUUCUCAUCAGCUUCUGGAUGAUUUCGUUGAGUCCCUCAGGCUCAUUCGGGAUGCAGCUUCAAGAAAAUCAGAGGAUACACAGAAUGGCGUUUCCAGUAGAACAUAGACAGGUCCCAGGUGUAUAUAUAUACCUUUUUCUGCGAAAAGUUGUAUACAUAUAGGUCUCAUGAAACUUUUGCCUGGCUUGAUAGGAUAGGACAUGGACAACUGCAGGUUUACAUAAUCCCACAACUUGGGUGAAUGCAGCGUGAAGGCAAUAAUAUUUCCUCUCCACUAAACCUCAUGUUGGCUUACGCACGUGGGCCACUUGUAGUUGUAGCUACUAGCUAGCACUUUUGAUGACAUCGAAUAACAAAACCUCCCACCGACAGAAGAAAGCUUCGUCGCCCUCUGAACUUAGAAAAUGGAGCAAAACACAGUUAGAUGCUACCUACGGACACAUCGUAUUGGUUCCAGGCAGAUUUUGCUGAGUAGUAUCGAGCUGAAUCUGCAUACAUGAUCUUAGUUGCAACUCGUAUCUUUCCAGGGGAUCAAGGAAGUAAUCAAUAUAAAUACAGGCAUGCAUUUAGAUA